UGAAAUGCACUUUACUGUUAAUGUUUCUGUAAAGACUAUAGCGCAGAGGAGAAAAAUACAGUCGUGCAUGGCCUCUGCGAUUCUGACGGGCGAAGCCGCCUGAAGUGGAACUAUGGGGUGCACCCAUAAUUCACUUCACAGCAAAGAUUAUCUCCCAACCUUCCGAUGGCACUUUCAGCCACCUAUAAUUCUUGUGUAUCUCUUUUGGAAAGGUGCAAGUGGUACACACUACGAAGGACAUUAAUUGUGAAGGCAUGGGACGGGGGCUCCACUGGCUGUCUCCAAUGGCAGUCUUAAGAACACCUGCAGGGAGCCAGCUGCAGACACCCGGGGACACUGGGCGGUUUCUCGUGUCUCCACCCGCUGAAGUUCGCUCUGGAGAAGCUAGCUGGUAUCUCCACGCAGACCGCGGCGCUCGCAGAUCUGCUCCAAGGGUCCCGGCGCUCCUGGGGAGCCGCGGAGGCCAGGCGGACCGCAGCGGAGCUGGGGACCCGGGGGCGAGCUCGGGGAGCCUUUCCAGACGAAACGCAGCGCACACCUCCCGGGCAGCGCCCAGAAUGGAGUGGGAGCUGAAUCUGCUGCUCUACCUGGCGCUCUUCUUCUUCCUGCUUUUCCUCCUGUUUCUCCUGCUCUUCGUGGUCAUCAAGCAGCUGAAGAACUCGGUGGCCAACACAGCCGGGACGCUGCAGCCCGGGCGCCUGUCACUGCACCGGGAGCCGUGGGGUUUCAAUAACGAGCAAGCUGUGUGACCCAGCGCUGAGCUGGUCUCAGUUCCGCGGGGAUCCAGAUCUAUGUCAUUGGGACCCAGGCUGGUGCCUUUGACUGGUGGCACCCAGGAUCAAACUCCGAUCACAGCCUGGGAACCCCGCAAAGCUGGACAGUGGGUGGUGAAAUUCUUCUUGCAAAAGGGCACAGGCGUGGCUGUGGGCCUGAUGCCAUCUGGUGCAGUCCUACAGCAUGAGGGAUUUGCCCAGAGUUCUCCCGGUGCAUGGGCUUCUGGGGAGGAAAGGAUUUGUUUUUGGUUCAUUGCAGAGGUGGAAACUUGGAACAAGGUAUGCAAAAAACAUGCAGCACCCUAUUUUUAAUGUGACAUUCUAUGUUCCCAAUUCUGCCUAGUUUCAGACAAAGUGCGCUAGAAUUCAAUUAUAAAUGAUGAGAAUUUUGAGCAUUGUGAAUGGUUAAGCCAUUUAAGGAUAGUGGGAAAUGUCCUCUCCCUCCCCCACAAGUCAUGAUUUAGAGACUUUUAGAAUUCUAGUUAUACUAAUGCAGAAUGUAUUUGCAGAGUUCUGUACUUUCAAAAUAACUUGCAGAUAGCCUGUGGUAUUUGUACUUAUCUAAACAGAGUCUGCAAUUAAAGCUCUAAGAUCUUUAGAAUUAGUCAGGUUCUGUAUUACAUACAAGGGCAAGUUCAGUGGUAGAUGUACUACUGGGGUUUUGUUUUGUUUUUUGCUUGAAUCAGUUAUACAAAUUCUUCAAAUAUCCAAUUGUUGUUUUGUUUACAUAAAUAAAUAAGGACUCAGAUUAAAAGCUAGUCUAAUUGUCUGAGGAGUAAGCAUUUUACCAAAUAGGAAUCUGGGAAACAAGAAAGGCAGCCUACCCCUGGAAAGAAAUCAUAAUUCGACAAACUGCGGGAAAAACCUCCUCCUGGAUCAAGCUAAAAAUCCCUCCUGUGAUUUGCAACAGCAGAUUCUUUGGUGAAGGGCCCUGCUCACCUCUGCUGCUCUUGGCCUGUGUCACAGAUCCAGAAUAAGCAGAUGGGUCCAAGUGAAUAAGCUCUACAUGCAACACUCAACCUUUACUUUGCUGGCAUUAACUCUCCAAAGUUACUGGAAUUUAUUGCAUAGGUCCAGGCAUUUUAGACAAAAUUGUUUUACUGUAGGAAGAAAUCUUACUCUCAGUUGAGAAUCAGGACGGAUUGUUAUUUCAAUGAAGUAGGACAUUACUAAGCAGGGGCUUGAACCAAUUAGGGGUCUUGUGGUUUCUCAUGUCACACUUAAUAUGAGGCAGUGAUGAUUUUUCCAGUUUCUGAUAUGGUCUCCAUGGCUCCCCACAAGGAGAAGGAAGCCAGGAGGAAAAACAGAACAUGCCAGUCUGAAUCCACAUCUUUCUAAAGAGCUUCUCCACAGCCAGAUCAUAUUUCAUUGGCUAAAACUAUGUCAAUGGCCAUUGUCCUCUGUAGGGUUCUUUAAUGAUAUAGUUGUUUCCUUUAGCUAAAAUCCGAGCUCUUUAGAUAAGAACAAUGUGGGUGGAUCUUGGGUGGACAACCAGCAGUCUAGGCCCUGGUUACAAAGUACAGUUGUGCAGAAGCAUAGUGUUCAAGAAAGGUGAAACUUAAGGUUUCCUCCCUCCCACCUGGUGUGGCGUGAGAACACAUCUCCAGGUGAUAUGGCUGAGCAGAGUGAAGAUGUCUCCUUAGUUCUCAGGAAAUGUUUGUCAGGUCUGGCUUCUCUCUGGGCAGCUGACUUCCCCUGCACCAGGAGUUUCUAGUCAAGUAUCCUGGAAGCCUGCACAUUUGUGAUUGUGUGUGUAGUAGGGUCUUCACAAUCUCUUCAUGGAGCUUUGGUGUGGGAUCAAAAUGGGUUGUUUUCUUUUGCUCCUUUGUCGUCUGCUCCAUCAUUUUCAUGCUCAUUAAAUUUUGGUGGUAACCAAGUUUGUGUAUUUGAUCCCCAUAAAGGCCAUCCCUUUCAUACACAGAAGAAGGCACUCUGUGCUUAGAAACGCUACCUCUCUUCCUUCUGCGACUCCACUCUCAAUCCAGGAAUAUCCUGGGAGAUCGCCUCUGGAGCUGCUUCUACUCACAGCCUACGUAGUGGCCAAGCAGAGGGAGAAGAAACACUUCCCACACCCAGAGCUGUGCAAAAGAACUUUCUGUGAUAUGGAACAGUUCUAUAUCUGUGAUGCCCAAUACGGCAAGUACUAGUCACAUGUGUCUAGUAAACACUGAAGUAUGGCUAGCGGGGUUUAAAUUUUACUUAAUUUCACCUGAGACAGCCACAUGGGGACAGUGGCUUUUGUAUGUACUGUUCAUACCAUUCUCUCUCUUGGGUGUGUUUUAGAGUUACAGGGGGAGGUGGCAGCUAGCCACAUGCUCCACAUCCAUGGGCUUCACUGCGCCUCUUACGUUGAGUUUGUCUCCUUGAGGAAAAGGAAAAUUAGUGUGUUGGAACUAAAUUAAAAAUGUUACCCUCUACCUACUGCAUGUCUUCUUGUACCAAAUGGGAUGGGUUUUAGUGACAAACAAUCCCGGAAAAAAUGGCAGUGCUGAUCCACCACGUGCCCUUGACCCUGGUCGGUGUUCCCAACAGAGGUCAUUUUGUCUUGUGCAGUGUGGCCCAUUUUUGUUCACUUUUUAAUAUUGUAAAUGCCAAAUGAUUAU